rnacentral:rRNA from 1 species
CCUACGGGUGGCAGCAGUGGGGAAUAUUGCGCAAUGGGCGAAAGCCUGACGCAGCGACGCCGCGUGAGGGAUGAAGGUCUUCGGAUCGUAAACCUCUGUCAGCAGGGAAGAACGGUCAAUGUGCUAAUCAGCAGUGAAUUGACGGUACCUGCAAAGGAAGCACCGGCUAACUCCGUGCCAGCAGCCGCGGUAAUACGGAGGGUGCGAGCGUUAAUCGGAAUUACUGGGCGUAAAGCGCUCGUAGGCGGUAUGUCAAGUCAAGGGUGAAAUCCCCGGGCUCAACGUGGGAACUGCCUUUGAAACUGGCAAACUGGAGUGUGUGAGAGGAUAGUGGAAUUCCAGGUGUAGGGGUGAAAUGCGUAGAUAUCUGGAGGAACAUCAGUGGCGAAGGCGACUAUCUGGCACAUAACUGACGCUGAGGAGCGAAAGCGUGGGUAGCAAACAGGAUUAGAUACCCCAGUAGUC